rnacentral:rRNA from 1 species
AGACCGAUAGCGAACAAGUACAGUGAUGGAAAGAUGAAAAGAACUUUGAAAAGAGAGUGAAAAAGUACGUGAAAUUGUUGGAAGGGAAGGGCUUGAGAUCAGACUUGGCUUGUAGUGAUCAGCUGUCUUUCGGGACUGUGCACUCGCUACUUGCUAGGCCAGCAUCAGUUCUGGCGGUGAGAUAAUGGUAGUGGAAUGUGACUCUGCUUCGGUAGAGUGUUAUAGCCACAUGCAGAUGUCACCAGCCGGGACUGAGGACCGCGCUUCGUGCUAGGAUGCUGGCGUAAUGAUCUUAAGCCACCCGUCUUGAAACACGGACCAAG